CUGUUUGCGGAAACUCACCAUCCCCAACUUGUGUGGCAUCCAUGGCAGAGAAAAGUAGCAUUGAAUUUGUUGUCCUUGACGUGUACGUAUUUACUCUCAGCUGUGAAAUCAGAGGGACAAAACUCCCAUUCGUCAAAUGAAUCAUAUAUAAAAGUGGUCUCUCCUCGUAGAUUCCACAGCUUUUGCAUUGUGUUGUAGGAUUAG
rnacentral:lncRNA from 1 species